UGGGGAAUUUUGGACAAUUGGGCGAAAGCCUGAUCCAGCAAUGCCGCGUGUGUGAAGAAGGCCUUCGGGUCUGAUAAAGCACUUUUGUCCGGAAAGAAAUCCUUGGCUCUAAUACAGUCGGGGGAUGACGGUACCGGAAGAAUAAGCACCGGCUAACUACGUGCCAGCAGCCGCGGUAAUACGUAGGGUGCAAGCGUUAAUCGGAAUUACUGGGCGUAAAGCGUGCGCAGGCGGUUUGCUAAGACCGAUGUGAAAUCCCCGGGCUCAACCUGGGAACUGCAUUGGUGACUGGCAGGCUAGAGUAUGGCAGAGGGGGGUAGAAUUCCACGUGUAGCAGUGAAAUGCGUAGAGAUGUGGAGGAAUACCGAUGGCGAAGGCAGCCCCCUGGGCCAAUACUGACGCUCAUGCACGAAAGCGUGGGGAGCAAACAGGAUUAGAUACCCUGGUAGUCCACGCCCUAAACGAUGUCAACUAGUUGUUGGGGAUUCAUUUCCUUAGUAACGUAGCUAACGCGUGAAGUUGACCGCCUGGGGAGUACGGUCGCAAGAUUAAAACUCAAAGGAAUUGACGGGGUCAUAGCUGUUUCCU
rnacentral:rRNA from 1 species